rnacentral:rRNA from 1 species
UACGUAGGGGGCAAGCGUUGUCCGGAUUACUGGGCGUAAAGAGCGCGUAGGCGGAGAUCUAAGCGUGGCCUGAAAGCCCCCGGCUCAACCGGGGAGUGCGGCUGCGAACUGGGUUUCUUGAGGACGAUAGAGGAGAGUGGAAUUCCUGGUGUAGCGGUGAAAUGCGUAGAUAUCAGGAGGAACACCCGAGGCGAAGGCGGCUCUCUGGGUCGUACCUGACGCUGAGGCGCGAAAGCGUGGGGAGCGAACGGG